rnacentral:rRNA from 1 species
UUACGAGGUCAGGACACUGUGAGGAUUGACAGAUUGAAAGCUCUUUCUUGAUUCAGUGGGUGGUGGUGCAUGGCCGUUCUUAGUUGGUGGAGUGAUUUGUCUGGUUAAUUCCGUUAACGAACGAGACCUUAACCUGCUAAAUAGUCACGCGAACCGGUCCGCAAGGGCUCAAAGUUCGCGGCUCGACUUCUUAGAGGGACUAUUCGCACCCGCCAGCGAAUGGAAGUUUGAGGCAAUAACAGGUCUGUGAUGCCCUUAGAUGUUCUCGGCCGCACGCGCGUUACACUGACGGAGUCAACGAGCGUUUUUCCUUGCCCGACAGGGCUGGGUAACCUCCUGAAACUCCGUCGUGAUGGGGAUAGAUCAUUGCAAUUAUUGAUCUUGAACGAGGAAUUCCUAGUAAGCGCGAGUCAUCAACUCGCGCUGAUUACGUCCCUGCCCUUUGUACACACCGCCCGUCGCUCCUACCGAUUGAACGGUCCGGCGAGAACUCGGGAUGGUC